rnacentral:tRNA from 1 species
GUCGGGAUAGCUCAGCUGGUAGAGCAGAGACUGAAAAUC